rnacentral:rRNA from 1 species
UACGUAGGGUGCAAGCGUUGUCCGGAAUUAUUGGGCGUAAAGAGCUCGUAGGCGGUUCGUCGCGUCGGCUGUGAAAUCCCGAGGCUCAACCUCGGGUCUGCAGUCGAUACGGGCGGACUGGAGUUCGGCAGGGGAGACUGGAAUUCCUGGUGUAGCGGUGAAAUGCGUAGAUAUCAGGAGGAACACCGGUGGCGAAGGCGCACAUCUGGCCCGAUACUGACGCUAAAGCGCGAAAGCUAGGGAGCAAACGGG